GUGUAGCCAAUGGGCAAGAUGCUCUGGAUAAGAUCCGUGCGGGUGCAUCACUGGUUCAACUUUACACAGCUUUCACAUACCAGGGUCCACCUAUUGUGACAAAGAUAAAGCGGGAAUUAGAACAACUUCUUAAAGAUCAAGGCUUCAGCAGCGUGUCAGAGGCAGUUGGUGCAGAUCACAGAAGAGCAGACUCAUAAGCGUAGGUUUUUGAAGGAGGAUAG